CCUACGGGCGGCAGCAGUGGGGAAUAUUGCACAAUGGGCGCAAGCCUGAUGCAGCCAUGCCGCGUGUGUGAAGAAGGCCUUCGGGUUGUAAAGCACUUUCAGCGGGGAGGAAGGCGGUGAGGUUAAUAACCUCAUCGAUUGACGUUACCCGCAGAAGAAGCACCGGCUAACUCCGUGCCAGCAGCCGCGGUAAUACGGAGGGUGCAAGCGUUAAUCGGAAUUACUGGGCGUAAAGCGCACGCAGGCGGUCUGUCAAGUCGGAUGUGAAAUCCCCGGGCUCAACCUGGGAACUGCAUUCGAACGUGGCAGGCUAGAGUCUUGGAGAGGGGGGUAGAAUUCCGGGGGUAGAGGGGAAAUGCGGAGAGAUCUGGAGGAAUCCCGGGGGCGAAGGCGGCCCCCUGGACAAAGACGGACGCUCAGGUGCGAAAGCGUGGGGAGCAAACAGGAUGAGAUACCCGAGAGUC
rnacentral:rRNA from 1 species